rnacentral:ribozyme from 1 species
CUUGUCUGUGAAGCCUCCAGACACCCCCAAAGCAAACACCCAUCGGCCAGACAGCCCCAGCGCAGCCCAAAAGACAACGACGACGACGACG